UUCAGAUCAUCAUGGAUAAAACACAAACGUCUGGAGAUGAAGAUUUGUUUCCAGGAUGCAGUUCAGUUCAGCAGAGGAGAUCAGAAGCAGAGCCCAGCCAUGUGUCUAUGAAGAGUGACUCGUCUAUGAUUCAGCCAGUAAAGUUUAAGAGUGGAGAUACACGGCCUGGUCUCAGCCAUGAAGUUCUCAACACAUUUAAAUCAA